rnacentral:rRNA from 1 species
AGCGAACGCUGGCGGCAGGCUUAACACAUGCAAGUCGAGCGGGCGUAGCAAUACGUCAGCGGCAGACGGGUGAGUAACGCGUGGGAACGUACCUUUGGUUCGGAACAACUGAGGGAAACUUCAGCUAAUACCGGAUAAGCCCUUACGGGGAAAGAUUUAUCGCUGAAAGAUCGGCCCGCGUCUGAUUAGCUAGUUGGUGAGGUAACGGCUCACCAAGGCGACGAUCAGUAGCUGGUCUGAGAGGAUGAUCAGCCACAUUGGGACUGAGACACGGCCCAAACUCCUACGGGAGGCAGCAGUGGGGAAUAUUGGACAAUGGGCGAAAGCCUGAUCCAGCCAUGCCGCGUGAGUGAUGAAGGCCCUAGGGUUGUAAAGCUCUUUUGUGCGGGAAGAUAAUGACGGUACCGCAAGAAUAAGCCCCGGCUAACUUCGUGCCAGCAGCCGCGGUAAU